rnacentral:tRNA from 1 species
GCCUGGGUGGCUUAGUCAGUUAAGCAUCUGACUUCAGCUCAGGUCGUGAUCUCAAGGUUGAGUUCAAGACCCACAUCAGGCU